CUAGCGACUUCAGUAGUUUGAUCCUGGCUCAGGACGAACGCUGGCGGCGUGCCUAACACAUGCAAGUCGAGCGGGGACAUGCGACGGAGACGAAGUUUUCGGAUGGAGUCGAAGAUGCAUUGUUCUAGCGGCGGACGGGUGAGUAACGCGUGAGCAACCUGUCCCUUACAGGGGGAUAACACAGCGAAAGUUGUACUAAUACCGCAUGAGACCACGGUGAGACAUCUCACAGGGGUCAAAGGAGCAAUCCGGUAAGGGGUGGGCUCGCGUCCGAUUAGAUAGUUGGUGAGGUAACGGCCCACCAAGUCGACGAUCGGUAGCCGACCUGAGAGGGUGAUCGGCCACAUUGGGACUGAGACACGGCCCAA
rnacentral:rRNA from 1 species